UCAAUUUCCCUCUCUCCUCCUCCCCCACCUUCUUGGAUGCCACCUUCCAUGCAUUGCUUCCUCCCUCUCCUACAGCUGCCUUCCCUCAUGCCCAUUGAAAUCCUCAUCUCCAAUUGGAAGACUCCCCUUCAUUCCAUCUCCCGCAGUUCAGCAAUUGUCGCUAGCCUCCUCCGCCGCCUCCUUCAUCUCCGACUACAGCCUACACUUUUUCCAAUGGAAGAUUCCCAAGUACAACUCUCAAUCUCUCUCUGGUUCUCCUCCCUGUCCUCAUCCCUCUUUCUCCUCUUCUUCUCUCUAGCCCCCUAGGGUUAUGGUCG
rnacentral:lncRNA from 1 species